CGCCUCUUGAUAAGAGGUCCAGCCUGCCCAGUGAGAUUUAACGGCCGCGGUAUAUUAACCGUGCAAAGGUAGCGCAAUCACUUGUUCCCUAAAUAGGGACCCGUAUGAAUGGCAUCACGAGGAUUUAACUGUCUCCCUCCUCUAAUCUGUGAAACUAAUCUCCCUGUGAAAAAGCAAGGAUAAACAUAUAAGACGAGAAGACCCUGUGGAACUUUAAACAUAAUAGUACUUGCAUGCUAACUAAAAGUUUUCGGUUGGGGUGACCACGGAGUAAAACUUACCCUCCACGUUGAAAACCCACAAGCUACAACUUUAAAGAUCAGUAAACUGACAUUAUUGACCCAAACUUUUGAUCAACGAACCAAGCUACCCCAGGGAUAACAGCGCAAUCUACUUCAAGAGUACAUAUCGACAAGUAGGCUUACGACCUCGAUGUUGGAUCAGGGUAACCUAGUGGUGCAGCCGCUACAAAAGGUUCGUUUGUUCAACGAUUAAACCCCU
rnacentral:rRNA from 1 species